rnacentral:rRNA from 1 species
CAAUAGCGUAUAUUAAAGUUGUUGCAGUUAAAAAGCUCGUAGUUGGAUUUCUGUGAGAGUGCCGGUGUCGGCUGAUGCUUGUACGCAGGCGCUCUUACAUCCUUCUGUUAACUGUUCUUGGCAUUUUAUUGCUGGUUCAGGGCUCAGAUAUUUUACCUUGAGAAAAUUAGAGUGUUUCAGGCAGGCUUAUGCCGGAAUACAUUAGCAUGGAAUAAUGGAACAGGACCUGUGCGUCUUCUGUUGGUCAUGAGGCUCGAGUAAUGAUUAAUAGGGAUAGUUGGGGGCAUUAGUACUUAACUGUCAGAGGUGAAAUUCUCGGAUUUGUUAAAGACUAACUUAUGCGAAAGCAUUUGCCAAGGAUGUUUUCAUUAA